rnacentral:tRNA from 1 species
GCCGUAGUAGCUCAGGGGUAGAGCAACUCACUCGUAAUGAGUAGGUCGGGAGUUCGAAUCUCCCCUGCGGCUCCA